ACGAACGCUGGCGGCAUGCCUAACACAUGCAAGUCGAACGAACUUUCUGACUUCGGUUGGGGAGUUAGUGGCGCACGGGUGCGUAACGCGUGGGAAUCUGCCCCUUGGUUCGGAAUAACAGUUAGAAAUGACUGCUAAUACCGGAUGAUGUCUUCGGACCAAAGAUUUAUCGCCAAGGGAUGAGCCCGCGUAGGAUUAGGUAGUUGGUGGGGUAAAGGCCUACCAAGCCGACGAUCCUUAGCUGGUCUGAGAGGAUGAUCAGCCACACUGGGACUGAGACACGGCCCAGACUCCUACGGGAGGCAGCAGUGGGGAAUAUUGGACAAUGGGGGAAACCCUGAUCCAGCAAUGCCGCGUGAGUGAUGAAGGCCUUAGGGUCGUAAAGCUCUUUUACCAGGGAUGAUAAUGACAGUACCUGGAGAAUAAGCUCCGGCUAACUCCGU
rnacentral:rRNA from 1 species